UGCCUCAUAAUGUCUCACGAGUCGCCUGUUGCGGUGCUAUGGGGAAAGUUGCUAGAGGCAGCGGCGGCGGUGGCUCCGCCAUCGGCGUCGGUUUCUCGCGGCCACCGGCAUCGAUGUCGCGCGCGACGGCAACAGCGCAGUUCACCGCAUUUCUCCGCGUACGCGUCAAAGCAGUGCCCGGGGCACUUCUGGUGUGCAGUCCCGUGCCGCCCAGAGCGGGCAGCGGUCAAAAAACGACAGAAGAAGGUAACCUUCUCGCCCAUUGUGUCGGUGGUGGAGUUCACCGUCGUACCCGUUCGCUAGCACGUGUGGGUGAAGGUCGAGCACGUGCAUUUUGGUAAAAAAAAAUGAAGAGAAAGAGAAGAGACGCUAGUGUCCAUCCACGGUGUGCGCAUCGUCGCACGCGCACCCCUCACGUUCCUCUCCUCGGGUUUGAAGCACAACGGCGGGAGGAAGGCGGUGCACAAAGAAAACGGAUUCCAUCCCAUCAGCCACUCGUGCUGGCAGACAAUGCAUCAGGCGUAUUUUUGAUUGCGUCCAUGAUGGUGCCCACUCACCCCUCUUACCUUCCCUCCCCGUCUUCCUCCCUCUUCCACCUUAUUCUUCUCCCUCUCCGACAUCCGUUCGCGCUGCGUCGGGGCAG
rnacentral:misc_RNA from 1 species